UAUCGUACUUGAAAUCACAAAAUCACAGAUAGGUGCUUAUUGUGAUAACGUAAGGGAAAAAUUUGAUAUUACCUUACUAUAAGUGUUGUCUAAAUAACUGGUGCCAGAAGACUCGGUAACACCAGAAACGCGAACGUUAGUCGUCUUAAACAGGCGUAAAGGGUAAGUAGGCUGCUUUAAAAAUUUUUUUAUAUAAAAGCUAAUUAAUAAUUUAUGCUUAGUAAUAUCUUGCUUACUGGUUAUAGUAAUAUCGUAGAUAUAACAUCUUCGAUAUUGUUAUCCCGGAGGGAUUACAACUAAUAACAAGAAUCAAGCUACUAAAAAUUUUCAGAUUAAUUUAUUAAAAUUAACACUCUUAAGUUUGAAUUGCUAGCUACUUGCUAAGCUAAGCUAAGAAAUUUUAUUGUAGUAGCUAGUAAUAUCUAGUAAUAAUAUUAGUAUUAACAAAUAUAAUAACAAGAUAUAACAAGCAAAUCGAAGUUAACAAUAAGUGAAUAAUCAUUUCAAUGAUAAUUAAACUUACUGCUUGUUAUAUCGAAGAUAUUACCAGCUGCUAUAACUAAAAACUUAAAUUAUUAAAUUAAAUAAAGAUAGAUAUACUUAAAGCUAGAAUCAUAAUUGAGAUAAACCAAAUAAUACUUAAGUGUAAGGGUAAAAUCUAAAAAUACUAAGUAGAAUACUAACGGUGAAAACUUUUUAUCUAGGAGUGAUUGACGCUGAGGUACGAAAGUGAGAACAGGGAAUAGGAUUAGAUACCCAGUUACCUCUCACCGUCAACGAUGAAUGGAAGUUGUUAGUAGUUAGUCUCGUUAGUCUUGCUAGUAAUAUCUUCGAUAUAACAAGUAAGACUAACUAAACUUCAAUUAAAACUAGUGACGAUGUUAACGCGAUAACCAUUCCGCCUUGAGAGUACGGUUGCAAAACUGAAACCAAAAAAAUUAGUCGGUCU
rnacentral:rRNA from 1 species